rnacentral:rRNA from 1 species
AUUGAACGCGGGCGGCAGGCCUAACACAUGCAAGUCGAACGAGUGGCGGACGGGUGAGGAAUGUCUGGGAAACUGCCUGAUGGAGGGGGAUAACUACUGGAAACGGUAGCUAAUACCGCAUACCAUCGGAUGUGCCCAGAUGGGAUUAGCUUGUUGGUGGGGUAACGGCUCACCAAGACGACGAUCCCUAGCUGGUCUGAGAGGAUGACCAGCCACACUGGAACUGAGACACGGUCCAGACUCCUACGGGAGGCAGCAGUGGGGAAUAUUGCACAAUGGUCGCAAGCCUGAUGCAGCCAUGCCGCGGGUAUGAAGCAGGUCUUCUCGUUGUCAAGUACUUUCAGCGGGGAGGCGUUAACCGCAGAAGAAGCACCUGCUCACUUUGUGCCAGCAGCCGCGGUAAUUC